rnacentral:rRNA from 1 species
AGCAGUCGCCACGGUAAUACAGAGGGUGCGAGCGUUAAUCGGAUUUACUGGGCGUAAAGCGUGCGUAGGCGGCUAAUUGAGUCGGAUGUGAAAUCCCCGAGCUUAACUUGGGAAUUGCAUUCGAUACUGGUUAGCUAGAGUGUGGGAGAGGAUGGUAGAAUUCCAGGUGUAGCGGUGAAAUGCGUAGAGAUCUGGAGGAAUACCGAUGGCGAAGGCAGCCAUCUGGCCUAACACUGACGCUGAGGUACGAAAGCAUGGGGAGCAAACAGGAUUAGAUACCCCAGUAGUCCCUGUCUCUUAUAC